GAUGAACGCUGGCGGCGUGCCUAAUACAUGCAAGUCGAGCGAACAGACGAGGAGCUUGCUCCUCUGACGUUAGCGGCGGACGGGUGAGUAACACGUGGAUAACCUACCUAUAAGACUGGGAUAACUUCGGGAAACCGGAGCUAAUACCGGAUAAUAUAUUGAACCGCAUUGUUCAAUAGUGAAAGACGGUUUUGCUGUCACUUAUAGAUGGAUCCGCGCCGCAUUAGCUAGUUGGUAAGGUAACGGCUUACCAAGGCAACGAUGCGUAGCCGACCUGAGAGGGUGAUCGGCUACACGGGAACUGAGACACGGUCCAGACUCCGACGGGAGGCAGCAGUAGGGAAUCUUACGCGAGGGGCGAAAGCCUGACGGAGCAACGCCGCGUGAGUGAUGAAGGUCUUCGGAUCGUAAAACUCUGUUAGUAGGGAAGAACAAAUGUGUAAGUAACUAUGCACGUCUUGACGGUACCUAAUCAGAAAGCCACGGCUAACUACGUG
rnacentral:rRNA from 1 species